CAGGAUGCAGCUCUCUGCAGCCUCAACCAGCCACCACCGGCCCCGGCAUAUUCGCUCCAGCCUCUCACAGAGCCAGGGCCGCACAGCCUCCAGGAGAUGCUGGUUUUGUUGGAAUAGUCCAGCCCACUCCUCAGGCAGGAGGCCACUCACACGCUCUGGCCCUGCAGGCCCCUGCUCAUCUGGGGGCAGUGUUCCCUGUGGAGAAGAUGGAGGGGACACCUCAGGGCCAUGGAUGCUGUUUUCUUCCACGUGACUGGAAGCUCUCCCUGCCAUGCUAUGGGCUUCUGGUGAUUCUGCAGGGGUGGUGAUGACCAACUCUACGUAGUCCCAUUCAUCCUGCUCAGAAAACCUGAUGGUCUCUAUCGGUGUCCUGCAGAGUGGGCAUGAGGGAUUUCUGUGUGUCCACCGCAGGAUGCAGCCCAGGCAGAAUUGGUGGUGACAGGGCAGAGCAGAAGCCACGUCUUUCCAGGAGUCCUGGCAGAUGGGACAGUUGCUGUCUCUCUCCGUGGCCAUUUCUGUCUCAAGCCAGACUGGCCCAGGUUCUGCUGACAUCCAGAUAUAAGCAGUGAGAUGUCACAAUAAAUCCCCAUGAGAUGUCACAAUCUGAUACUCAGUGAUGCUACUAUCCAUGAGUCAGUGAAAUCACAAUGAGAUGUCCACCUCUGCAGACAUACAGGAGAAAAUGAAAAUAUCAAUUUUUUUUUUCAGUCUCUACACCUUCAUGUUGCUCUACCUGAGCCACCAGCAUCACAUGUCCUUGGCUCUGUGUCUCAUCCACACUCCUGACACCUUGCCAAGGUUUCCUGGGAGGUGGUGGUGCCACUCUGCAAGGGUAGAUCUGUCUUUUCUCACUGUGCUCCCAAAUCCACUCAUCUGCAGUGUGGAGGGAGCUGUAAAUCUGUGCAGCCAGGCUCCCAGCAGGGCCCUCUCUGCCUUCCUGAUUUGUGGGGUUUUCCCACAGCUCAUGGGAACUGACCAACUGGUGAUGAUGAUGGACUGACCAAUCCCUCUGAGCAGGCCUGAGUGGUGGCAUCUGACUUUCCAUGCUGGAUUUCCAGAGAGGAGCUGGUUUGCAGUCCUUUCUGAUCACAGAAGCAGAUGGUUGGUCCAGCAGCCAAGAGGAAAUCUGACUGUCUCUGCAGCUAUUUGCAAUCUUGGGAAAGUAAAUGAUCAUUUAAGCAAACUACGAAUCCAUGGUAGCCUGGAAAAAUACAUGGGUGUGCAAAAAAAAUGGAGUGGCAGUACCCAGCUGUAACCAGAAUUUUGAUACUUAAACUGGUGGUUGGUGUGGGAUUAUGAUGACUUUCUUCCCUGUGAAUAAACCACUUUUGCUGCUGUUAAGUAAAACUGAU
rnacentral:lncRNA from 1 species